rnacentral:rRNA from 1 species
UAACCUGCCCAAGAGAUCGGGAUAACACCUGGAAACAGAUGCUAAUACCGGAUAACAACAGAUGAUGCUUAUCAACUGUUUAAAAGAUGGUUCUGCUAUCACUCUUGGAUGGACCUGCGGUGCAUUAGCUAGUUGGUAGGGUAACGGCCUACCAAGGCGAUGAUGCAUAGCCGAGUUGAGAGACUGAUCGGCCACAUUGGGACUGAGACACGGCCCAAACUCCUACGGGAGGCAGCAGGC